AUAAGAUCCCUUGAAGAACACAAGGUUGAUAGGUCAGAGGUGUAAGUGCAGCAAUGUAUUUAGCUAACUGAUACUAAUAGAUCGAAGGCUUGAUCAAAUUAUUUACU
rnacentral:rRNA from 1 species